rnacentral:tRNA from 1 species
AGGAACUUAGGAUAAAUUAGACCAAGGACCUUCAAAGCCCUAAGUAGAAGUUCAAAUCUUCUAGUUCCUG